UUUAACCAAGAGCCAGAGGCUUUUAUAAGACUAGUACUAGAGAUACCAAGGCUGGAAAACGCGUGAACUUGACACAGAAUAUAAACGAUACUUAGAAAGUCUAGAAACCAAGUCAUAAUUUGAGACGAGAUGGUGUCCGCGCGACUAGCCUGUUGUUUGGUGCUGGCAGUUUUACUGGUCACGAGUAGCGUCAUUUCCUCCUCAAAGUCGAAGACGCAAAAAUGUAAUGGCGACCCAAGAGGGCCCCUCUCCGGCUACUGCUGUGGUCGAGGAUGUGCUGGCUGCCCGGAUGACCACUGGUGUGACAUCCAUCCGACUGACAUGUGGGCAGUCUGCUGUCCAAACUAGUCCUUGUGGGCACAGAAGAAAGGACCAAUAACACAAGACAUUAUGCCGAUCACUCUGUUGCUUUCGUUUUUCUCUGAUUUUUGUUUCCAACUCCUUUGAAUGCCUUGUCCUGUUCUCAUGUAAAAUAAAUUGUCAUAGUAUUUGGCCAAAAUGUGAAUUACAAUCAGUCAUCGCUGAUUAAUUAAUUUUUGUGGAAUUCAAUUAUCAUUGUAAUUUUUCAAGAAUUGUGAAUCAUGAAUGAUAAAAUGGAAUCAACCUCUGCCUUCAAAGAUCUCUUAUUACUACAAAGGGCGCAUGUUGAGAAUUUUGAUAACUUAAAAGUUUUAAUGCAUGUGGGAAAGAAACCAUCUUUGAGAAAUAAAGCGUAUUGGUGAGAUUUGA